rnacentral:lncRNA from 1 species
GCGAAGCUACCCAACAUCUAACAAAGGCCUAUCAAAAGAGAUAACGAGAAAUAUACAUCAAAAGAAGUCGAUGGUAUCGAUGUCUACAUCGUCAAUCAUGUCCACCUGAUGUAACUCCUCCUGAGUCACUAGAUCUCUAUCUACAGGGAUGUUAGUCCUAUACAAGGGAGGAUCUGCACUGGAAAAACCAUAUAGGUCACCUACG